GACGAACGCUGGCGGCGUGCCUAAUACAUGCAAGUAGAACGCUGAAGAGAGGAGCUUGCUCUUCUUGGAUGAGUUGCGAACGGGUGAGUAACGCGUAGGUAACCUGCCUUGUAGCGGGGGAUAACUAUUGGAAACGAUAGCUAAUACCGCAUAACAAUGGAUGAAACAUGUCAUUUAUUUGAAAGGGGCAAUUGCUCCACUACAAGAUGGACCUGCGUUGUAUUAGCUAGUAGGUGAGGUAAUGGCUCACCUAGGCGACGAUACAUAGCCGACCUGAGAGGGUGAUCGGCCACCCUGGGACUGGGACACGGCCCAGACUCCUACGGGCGGCAGCAGUAGGGAAUCUUCGGCAAUGGGGGCAACCCUGACCGAGCAACGCCGCGUGAGUGAAGAAGGUUUUCGGGUCGUAAAGCUCUGUUGUAAGUCAAGAACGGGUGUGAGAGUGGAAAGUUCACACUGUGACGGUAGCUUACCAGAAAGGGACGGCUAACUACGUG
rnacentral:rRNA from 1 species